rnacentral:rRNA from 1 species
GACGUAGGGUGCAAGCGUUGUUCGGAUUCAUUGGGCGUAAAGGGUGCGUAGGCGGCGCGGUAAGUCGGGUGUGAAAUCUCGGAGCUUAACUCCGAAACUGCAUUCGAUACUGCCGUGCUUGAGGACUGGAGAGGAGACUGGAAUUUACGGUGUAGCGGUGAAAUGCGUAGAUAUCGUAAGGAAGACCAGUGGCGAAGGCGGGUCUCUGGACAGUUCCUGACGCUGAGGCACGAAGGCCAGGGGAGCAAACGGG